rnacentral:tRNA from 1 species
AGAGAGGUGUCUGAGUGGUUGAAAGAGCUCGCCUGGAAAGCGUGUAUACCUCACGGUAUCGAGGGUUCGAAUCCCUUCCUCUCUGCCA